rnacentral:ncRNA from 1 species
GUUAUCUGAGGUGAAGAUUUCGUCCGUGUCACACACCCUAUGGGUUAAAAGAUAUGCGGGAGGUUCGGACGCCCGCCAGAUAAC